rnacentral:rRNA from 1 species
GACGAACGCUGGCGGCGUGCUUAACACAUGCAAGUCGAACGGAAAGGCCCUGCUUUUGUGGGGUGCUCGAGUGGCGAACGGGUGAGUAACACGUGAGUAACCUGCCCUUGACUUUGGGAUAACUUCAGGAAACUGGGGCUAAUACCGGAUAGGAGCUCCUGCUGCAUGGUGGGGGUUGGAAAGUUUCGGCGGUUGGGGAUGGACUCGCGGCUUAUCAGCUUGUUGGUGGGGUAGUGGCUUACCAAGGCUUUGACGGGUAGCCGGCCUGAGAGGGUGACCGGCAACAUGGGGACUGGGAUACGGCCCAGACUCCUACGGGGGGCAGGAGGGGGGAAUAUUGCACAAGGGGGGGAAGCCUGAUGCAGCAACGCCGCGGGGGGGAUGAGGGCCUUCGGGUUGUAAACCGCUUUCGCCUGUAACGAAGGGGGGGUGAGGGAAAUGGGUAAAGAAGCACCGGCUAAUUACGU